UUUUAUGGAGAGUUUGAUCCUGGCUCAGAGUGAACGCUGGCGGCGUGCCUAAUACAUGCAAGUCGAACGAUGAAGCUUCUAGCUUGCUAGAGUGCUGAUUAGUGGCGCACGGGUGAGUAACGCAUAGGUCAUGUGCCUCUUAGUUUGGGAUAGCCAUUGGAAACGAUGAUUAAUACCAGAUACUCCCUACGGGGGAAAGAUUUAUCGCUAAGAGAUCAGCCUAUGUCCUAUCAGCUUGUUGGUAAGGUAAUGGCUUACCAAGGCUAUGACGGGUAUCCGGCCUGAGAGGGUGAACGGACACACUGGAACUGAGACACGGUCCAGACUCCUACGGGAGGCAGCAGUAGGGAAUAUUGCUCAAUGGGGGAAACCCUGAAGCAGCAACGCCGCGUGGAGGAUGAAGGUUUUAGGAUUGUAAACUCCUUUUGUUAGAGAAGAUAAUGACGGUAUCUAACGAAUAAGCACCGGCUAACUCCGUGCCAGCAGCCGCGGUAAUACGGAGGGUGCAAGCGUUACUCGGAAUCACUGGGCGUAAAGAGCGCGUAGGCGGGAUAGUCAGUCAGGUGUGAAAUCCUAUGGCUUAACCAUAGAACUGCAUUUGAAACUACUAUUCUAGAGUGUGGGAGAGGUAGGUGGAAUUCUUGGUGUAGGGGUAAAAUCCGUAGAGAUCAAGAGGAAUACUCAUUGCGAAGGCGACCUGCUGGAACAUUACUGACGCUGAUUGCGCGAAAGCGUGGGGAGCAAACAGGAUUAGAUACCCUGGUAGUCCACGCCCUAAACGAUGGAUGCUAGUUGUUGGAGGGCUUAGUCUCUCCAGUAAUGCAGCUAACGCAUUAAGCAUCCCGCCUGGGGAGUACGGUCGCAAGAUUAAAACUCAAAGGAAUAGACGGGGACCCGCACAAGCGGUGGAGCAUGUGGUUUAAUUCGAAGAUACACGAAGAACCUUACCUAGGCUUGACAUUGAGAGAAUCCGCUAGAAAUAGUGGAGUGUCUGGCUUGCCAGACCUUGAAAACAGGUGCUGCACGGCUGUCGUCAGCUCGUGUCGUGAGAUGUUGGGUUAAGUCCCGCAACGAGCGCAACCCCCUUUCUUAGUUGCUAACAGGUCAUGCUGAGAACUCUAAGGAUACUGCCUCCGUAAGGAGGAGGAAGGUGGGGACGACGUCAAGUCAUCAUGGCCCUUACGCCUAGGGCUACACACGUGCUACAAUGGGGUGCACAAAGAGAAGCAAUACUGCGAAGUGGAGCCAAUCUUCAAAACAUCUCUCAGUUCGGAUUGUAGGCUGCAACUCGCCUGCAUGAAGCUGGAAUCGCUAGUAAUCGCAAAUCAGCCAUGUUGCGGUGAAUACGUUCCCGGGUCUUGUACUCACCGCCCGUCACACCAUGGGAGUUGUGUUUGCCUUAAGUCAGGAUGCUAAAUUAGCUACUGCCCACGGCACACACAGCGACUGGGGUGAAGUCGUAACAAGGUAACCGUAGGUGAACCUGCGGUUGGAUCACCUCCUUUCUAGA
rnacentral:rRNA from 1 species